UCUUGGUGGUAGUAGCAAAUACUCAAGCGAGGGCCUUGAGGGCUGAUGUGGAGAAGGGUUUCGUGUGAACAGCCGUUGCACACGAGUCAGUCGAUCCUAAGCCCUAGGAGAAAUCCGAUGUCGGUACGGGGGGCUUCCAGGAGCUCCCCCACGAUGGGCGAUAGAGAAUCCGGUUCCUAUUCCGUAACCCGGCAGCGGAACCGAAUCUACGGGCCCUCGUCAGAGAAGCUCGUCGGGGUAACCCAAAGGGACCCGAAGACGCCGUCGGGAGCCCCGAGCAGAGUUUUCUGUUCUGAAUAAGCGUUCGAGUUCCCUGGAAUCCUCUAGCAGGGAGAUAGGGUUUGGAACGCGAAGAGCACCGCAGUUGCGGCGGUGUCCGGGUCGUCCCCUCGGACCUUGAAAAUCCGGGAGAGGGUCACGCGGAGGUGUCGCGCCGGCUCGUACC
rnacentral:rRNA from 1 species